rnacentral:rRNA from 1 species
ACAAAUGCGCAGUAUAAGGCUUAUUUAGUAUUAUGGUAGUUGGUUAUGUUAAAAGCUAACCAAGCCUUAGAUGCUUAGCAGGCUUUAACGAGUGAUCUGCCACAACGGGCUUGAAAUAGUGCCUGAACAUUUAUGGCAGCAGUAAAGAAUCUUGGGCAAUGCAUUCAAGUGUGACCCAGCAAGUCUCCGUGGAUGAUGAAGAUAUUAAAUUAUAUUGUAAAAUUCUAUCUUUUUAUAUUUAUAAUGAAAUAUAAAAAGGAAAGCACAGGCUAAAUUCGUGCCAGCAGCCGCGGUAAUACGGAUUGUGCAAGUCUUUGACCUCGUGACUAGGUGUAAAAGGCCACAUAGGAGGUUAUAUAAGUUAUUGAGUAAAUACAGGGUAUAAACCUUGGAAUCUCAAUAAAACUUUAUAACUAGAAUAUAAAAGGGGUUUAAGAUAUCUUCUAAGUAAAGGUGAAAUUUGUAGAAAUAGAAGGGG